rnacentral:sRNA from 2 species
CGCGGGUCGCCGCCGAAUCGGCUUUGUCGGGGAGCCGAGCCGGGGAACCAACCCGUGGGGUGAAUCCGGUCCGGGUGUGCGGAGCAUGCCCGCUGGUAGGGCAGCUUCGAGCCCGAACCCGUCAGCUCACCCGGCAGGCGGUCGGAGCAGACGA